rnacentral:rRNA from 1 species
GACGAAGGGGGCUAGCGUUGUUCGGAAUUACUGGGCGUAAAGCGCGUGUAGGCGGUUGUCCAAGUUGGAUGUGAAAGCCUUGAGCUUAACUCAAGAAAUGCAUUCAGGACUGGAUGACUAGAGGACCGGAGAGGAUAGUAGAAUUCCCAGUGUAGUGGUGAAAUACGUAGAGAUUGGGAAGAGCACCAGUGGCGAAGGCGGCUAUCUGGACGGUUUCUGACGCUAAGACGCGAAAGCGUGGGGAGCAAACAGG